rnacentral:sRNA from 1 species
AAAGGCAUGGCUGAUCGCCACCUUGCCUUCCAUGCCGUUGGAGCGGAUGCGCUCGAAGAUGA